UACCAGCUCUCCGAGUUGUAGGGACGAUUAUUGGGCUUAAAGCGUCCGUAGCUGGCUUAGCAAGUCUCCUGUUAAAUUCAGCGACCUAAUCGUUGAGCCGCGGGAGAUACUACUAGGCUAGGAGGCGGGAGAGGUCGACGGUACUUUCGGGGUAGGGGUGAAAUCCUAUAAUCCCGGGGAGGACCACCAGUGGCGAAGGCUGUCGACUAGAACGCGCUCGACGGUGAGGGACGAAAGCGUGGGGUAGCGGAACCGGAUUAGAUACCCGGGUAGUCCCAGCUGUAAACUAUGCGGCUAGGUGUUGGGGUGGCUACGGGCCACUUCAGUGCCGCAGGAAAGCCAUUAAGCCCGCCGCCUGGGGAGUACGGCCGCAAGGCUGAAACUUAAAGGAAUUGGCGGGGAGCACCACAAGGCGUGAAGCUUGCGGUUC
rnacentral:rRNA from 1 species